rnacentral:rRNA from 1 species
GAUGAACGCUGGCGGCGUGCCUAAUACAUGCAAGUCGAGCGAACGGACGAGAAGCUUGCUUCUCUGAUGUUAGCGGCGGACGGGUGAGUAACACGUGGAUAACCUACCUAUAAGACUGGGAUAACUUCGGGAAACCGGAGCUAAUACCGGAUAAUAUUUUGAACCGCAUGGUUCAAAAGUGAAAGACGGUCUUGCUGUCACUUAUAGAUGGAUCCGCGCUGCAUUAGCUAGUUGGUAAGGUAACGGCUUACCAAGGCAACGAUGCAUAGCCGACCUGAGAGGGUGAUCGGCCACACUGGAACUGAGACACGGUCCAGACUCCUACGGGAGGCAGCAGUAGGGAAUCUUCCGCAAUGGGCGAAAGCCUGACGGAGCAACGCCGCGUGGGUGAUGAAGGUUUUCGGAUCGUAAAACUCUGUUAUUGGGGAAAAACAUAUGUGUAAGUAACUGUGCACAUCUUGACGGUACCUAAUCAGAAAGCCACGGCUAACUACGU